rnacentral:rRNA from 1 species
CCUACGGGAGGCUGCAGUGGGGAAUAUUGCACAAUGGGCGCAAGCCUGAUGCAGCCAUGCCGCGUGUGUGAAGAAGGCCUUCGGGUUGUAAAGCACUUUCAGCGGGGAGGAAGGCGUUAAGGUUAAUAACCUUGGCGAUUGACGUUACCCGCAGAAGAAGCACCGGCUAACUCCGUGCCAGCAGCCGCGGUAAUACGGAGGGUGCAAGCGUUAAUCGGAAUUACUGGGCGUAAAGCGCACGCAGGCGGUCUGUCAAGUCGGAUGUGAAAUCCCCGGGCUCAACCUGGGAACUGCAUUCGAAACUGGCAGGCUAGAGUCUUGUAGAGGGGGGUAGAAUUCCAGGUAUAGCGGUGAAAUGCGUAGAGAUCUGGAGGAAUACCGGUGGCGAAGGCGGCCCCCUGGACAAAGACUGACGCUCAGGUGCGAAAGCGUGGGGAGCAAACAGGAUUAGAUACCCUAGUAGUC